rnacentral:rRNA from 1 species
UACGUAGGGUGCGAGCGUUGUCCGGAAUUACUGGGCGUAAAGAGCUCGUAGGUGGUUUGUCGCGUUGUUCGUGAAAACUCACAGCUUAACUGUGGGCGUGCGGGCGAUACGGGCAGACUGGAGUACUGCAGGGGAGACUGGAAUUCCUGGUGUAGCGGUGGAAUGCGCAGAUAUCAGGAGGAACACCGGUGGCGAAGGCGGUGCUCUGGGCCAGUACUGACGCUGAGGAGCGAAAGCGUGGGGAGCAAACAGG